rnacentral:rRNA from 1 species
CCUACGGGAGGCAGCAGUGGGGGAUAUUGCACAAUGGGGGAAACCCUGAUGCAGCGACGCCGCGUGGGCGAAGAAGUAUUUCGGUAUGUAAAGCCCUAUCAGCAGGGAAGAAGAAAUGACGGUACCUGAGUAAGAAGCACCGGCUAAAUACGUGCCAGCAGCCGCGGUAAUACGUAUGGUGCAAGCGUUAUCCGGAUUUACUGGGGGUAAAGGGAGCGCAGGCGGGACGGCAAGCCUGAUGUGAAAGCCCGCGGCCCAACCGCGGGACUGCAUUGGGAACUACCGGGCUGGAGUGCCGGAGAGGUAGGCGGAAUACCUAGUGUAGCGGUGAAAUGCGUAGAUAUUAGGAGGGACACCAGGGGCGAAGGCGGACUACUGGACGGUGACUGGAGCUGAGGCUCGAAAGCGUGGGGAGCAAACAGGAUUAGAUACCCGGGUAGUC